rnacentral:lncRNA from 1 species
GUUUAUUUCAGUUUCAAUUUAAAGUCCUGCUGCUAAUGAACGAAAAUACUGCAUACUUUUGGAUCUUUAUUUAUGACAAUGCCAAAUUAAUGCUUUGAUUGUUUUACCGUAUGCUUGACUGAAGCAUCAAAUUUUUGCUUUGGUAAAAUUUGUCCCAGAACAUGUUCUACUCGGCUUUGUGUCGGUCGGUUAGAAUCUUUACCAAACACAUUAUAAGUGAUGACAUUGGUUGACUACUUAAUUUAAUGCUGAUUUUUGUUAAUCAAUUUAUUCUCGCAAGUUAUUUUCUCAUAAUUUUGAUUUUGAAUCUCUGUUGGUGAUGAUGAUGGUGAGAAGUGGUGACAAGAGAGCCACGUUAUCAUAGUUUCAUAUGAUUGCGCCAUUUCUCCUAUUUUUGUUGAUACCAUGAAAUGUUAAAGGUUUUAUCAAAGAUGUUUAUAACUAGAACAUUGGAUGAUGGGAUUUGGUCAUGUUAUUGCAUGAACUUGAAUUUCAAAUUGGAAGCUUUACAUUUUGAUGUAUGAAAUGGUUAUGUGCAACAACAAUAGUACACUAGGGUAGCAUCUCUAUCACCCCAAUGUGUAUCUGUCUUUAGUCUGUUUAGUGGUGUUAAGAUACGGAAAAUGCAAUGUCAUAUUUACUCUUGUAUAGUAUGUCCCUCUGUUUGAUGUAAAACUACGACAUAGUUGGCUGGUCUGUGUUCAGCUGUUGAACAUGAGCUGUCUGUUUGCAAAGAAGGGUUUAUCUAAUGUUUGUUGGUGGCUGAAGCUUGGUGCUCAAUGGUUACAAAUUACAAUGAAGCUAUUGACCUUGGUUAUUUGUGUGCAUUCUAUGUCAUUAGAAACAAUGAUGGGAAGGGAAUUAGAAACAGAUAUUAGACACCUAAGGUGUCUCUGUGUGUUCAGCAGUUGAAAUUUUAAAGAUCGACGAUUUGUACUGAAGAUCAAUUACGGGCUGUGGAACAUCAUAAAGCAUGAUUCACACAUCGCUUAUCUGUAAAACUGCAUGCAUUUUUCCCUUACAUGAUUUCGGACUGCAUGACGUAUUCAUCCUGCUAGUUGGCUAAAGCUUCAUGAUCAUAAGCCACAUUCUGCUCGAGAUGUGUAUUGCCUCAUGGCCCAUGUACAUCAUCUUUGGCCCAUUAUUCCUUUUCUAGGUCUGUUAUCGCUGUCCUCAUAACGACAUCAUAUGACAAACCAUUGAAACAUUUUGAGAUAGUUUCAUCCAUGAACGUUAUGGUAACAAGCACGAACCAAGUAAUCGAGGAUAACUACCCGGGAACAGCUAAAGGUGGUUACAAGCCUGGCAUAAAAGAGGAAGGGGACAAGAGAAUAUGUAGAUAACUCAUUGUCAAGAAAUCAAACGCCUAAUCUUGAGGGUAACACAUCAUCGGCGGAGGUCAUUAAUAUUCCAUCCGGGAACAGCUUUGAUAGAAGACAACAACAACAACAACAAGAUCUUUUCCACUAGAUGGAGUUGUGUACGUGGAUCAAAUGAUGCCAUUGAGUUCUAUAACCAGUGGUAUGAAAUGCCGCUUUGAUUUAAAUCCUUUUAAAUUGGGCUAUACUCUGUCUCAAGUGCUCUUGUAAUAACUGGGAUUUGGCCACAUAUCCAACCCUACCUAGUGGGGAAAUACUUUGGUUGUUGUUAUCUCCAGAGAACUUGGAAGAGAAACCAAAUCAUGCUGCAGUGUAGCUACCAUUAAUGAAACCAACCGUGUUACAUUUUCUUAUGCAGCAAUGUAGCUACCGGUAAACUAGCAUAGCAGUGUACCACCUAACAACAUGUUUCACCCCAACCAUCACUAUCGUAAACGGC